rnacentral:rRNA from 1 species
GCCGGCAGCUAGCUCUCUGCAACUCUCACAUGGUCGCCCACUGAAGAUAAGCAGGGCUGCGCCCGGUCAGUACCUGGAUGGGAGACCACAGGGGAAAGCUAGGUUGCUGCCGGAA